GUAGGGUGCGAGCGUUAAUCGGAAUUACUGGGCGUAAAGCGUGCGCAGGCGGCUUUGCAAGACAGAUGUGAAAUCCCCGGGCUCAACCUGGGAACUGCAUUUGUGACUGCAAGGCUAGAGUACGGCAGAGGGGGAUGGAAUUCCGCGUGUAGCAGUGAAAUGCGUAGAUAUGCGGAGGAACACCGAUGGCGAAGGCAAUCCCCUGGGCCUGUACUGACGCUCAUGCACGAAAGCGUGGGGAGCAAACAGGAUUAGAUACCCUGGUAGUCCCACGCCCCUAAACGAUGUCAACUGGUUGUUGGACGGCUUGCUGUUCAGUAACGAAGCUAACGCGUGAAGUUGACCGCCUGGGGAGUCGGCCGCAAGGUUG
rnacentral:rRNA from 1 species